rnacentral:lncRNA from 1 species
GUUGUUAUUUCAUACAAGUCCCCCUUGAAGCCUUUGGCAAGCUACCAAGCUGUAGAUUCCUUUUUUACAGGUCUAGCCUGCAGUCUGAUGUCCCUUCUCCUCCUACUGAAAGCACCCCUGUGCACCUGGAGGACACCAAAUAUUCCUAUAAAGGAUCUGUCUUGGGCUACAAGGAGAGAAGCAGCACCCAAGAGAGCAGAUACACAGGUCCUGAGGUCCCAGCGUACAGCCAGCCUUACUGGAAUGAAGCGAUGUCUUCCCAAGAUUUCAAAGAGGAGAACACCCCUAGAGAAAGGGGGCACGAGAGCACAUGGGCCGCAGAUGGCUGUAAACCAGAGCUGAUCCAAGAAGGGGUUUUGGACUCAAACAGCCAUACUGAGAAGGGACAAGAACCUCCUGACCAUGAUGUCUGCUCAGAGCCUCUCAGGUCAAUGGAACAUACUGAACAUGAACCCAGCAUGACUGGGUCCAUGCCAUGCUCCAAGGACAGCACUAGCGGGAGCGUGGACAUUAACAAGGGGAUAUCACCCUGUAUGCAGAGUGAAGAAGUCACUUCAAGAAGGCAAGAGAAAUAACAGGCCUGGUUUUUCUGUUGAGAGAACACGGGGUAUUUACUGCAGGUGGUUCUGGAGAAGGGGCUGAG